AACGCACAUUGCGCCCCUUGGUAUUCCGAGGGGCAUGCCUGUUCGAGCGUCAUUUAAACUCUCAAGCACCGCUUGGUAUUGGGCGCGGUCCUCCGGGACCCUCCCGUAACCCGUUGGGCGGGACCGAUCGGCUCCGAGCGUAGCAAGAAUCUUCCCUCGCUACGGAGACCGGCCGGCCCUCGCCCGGGAACCAACCCCUAAAGUUUGACCUCGGAUCAGGUAGGGAUACCCGCUGAACUUAA
rnacentral:misc_RNA from 1 species